GAGGGCACAAACAACGAAGAAGAGUUUCGUUCUCCGAUGCGCCAUCGGGGAGAGUGACGAAGGGUGUAAGAAACACAAAGGGGGGAAAUGAAAUGAUCUCUCAAAGAAAUUAUUCAGAGUUCGUGGAAUCGAUCACAGAUCAACAAGGCACAUUACUGGAUUUUUCACGAAGAUCAAACGAACUUGCUUCUUGUCUCUGUCUCUCUCUCUGAAUCCAAAUCUUCGCUCUGGAAUUCAGAGCCGGAGUCGCCGCCUGAACUUGGUCGUCGAGUCGAUUCCACCGAAACAAAAA